ACUCGCAGACGGAGGCGGCGAAAUGCGC
rnacentral:sRNA from 1 species